rnacentral:lncRNA from 1 species
UAUUGCAUGAUUAUCGUUCAUGUCAACGUGACAAUGCAAAGGGACCAUCAAAAUAAAGAGUGUGACAUUCUUUUAGCACCAAAAUAUACUAAUGAGAUUUUAUUCGUGUAAUAAGUACAGAUCCACUCACAUAAUUAAGGAAGACUACCAGAUCAAUAUUGCUAGGUACAUCUUAUAGCAGCUAUCUCAGGUAAUAAACAAACAAAACUGAAUGAC